rnacentral:rRNA from 1 species
UGUUUCGGCAAGGGGGUCAUCCCGACUUACCAACCCGAUGCAAACUGCGAAUACCGGAGAAUGUUAUCACGGGAGACACACGGCGGGUGCUAACGUCCGUCGUGAAGAGGGAAACAACCCAGACCGCCAGCUAAGGUCCCAAAGUCAUGGUUAAGUGGGAAACGAUGUGGGAAGGCCCAGACAGCCAGGAUGUUGGCUUAGAAGCAGCCAUCAUUUAAAGAAAGCGUAAUAGCUCACUGGUCGAGUCGGCCUGCGCGGAAGAUGUAACGGGGCUAAACCAUGCACCGAAGCUGCGGCAGCGACGCUUAUGCGUUGUUGGGUAGGGGAGCGUUCUGUAAGCCUGUGAAGGUGUGCUGUGAGGCAUGCUGGAGGUAUCAGAAGUGCGAAUGCUGACAUAAGUAACGAUAAAGCGGGUGAAAAGCCCGCUCGCCGGAAGACCAAGGGUUCCUGUCCAACGUUAAUCGGGGCAGGGUGAGUCGACCCCUAAGGCGAGGCCGAAAGGCGUAGUCGAUGGGAAACAGGUUAAUAUUCCUGUACUUGGUGUUACUGCGAAGGGGGGACGGAGAAGGCUAUGUUGGCCGGGCGACGGUUGUCCCGGUUUAAGCGUGUAGGCUGGUUUUCCAGGCAAAUCCGGAAAAUCAAGGCUGAGGCGUGAUGACGAGGCACUACGGUGCUGAAGCAACAAAUGCCCUGCUUCCAGGAAAAGCCUC